ensembl:misc_RNA Metazoa_SRP Metazoan signal recognition particle RNA
GCCGGGCGCGGUGGCUCACGCCUGUAAUCCCAGCACUUUGGGAGGCUGAGGCGGACGGAUCACCUGAGGUCAGGAGUUCUAUACCAGCCUGGCCAACAUGGUGAAACCCCAUCUCUACUAAAAAUACAAAAAAAAUUAGUCUGGCAUAAUGGCUGGGCACGGUGGCUCACACAUGUAAUCCCAGCACUUUGGGAGGCUGAGGUGGGUGGAUUACCUGAGGUCAGGAGUUCUAUACCAGCCUGGCCAACAUGGUGAAACCCCAUCUCU